AGACUCCUACGGGAGGCAGCAGUGGGGAAUAUUGCACAAUGGGCGAAAGCCUGAUGCAGCAACGCCGCGUGAGGGAAGACGGUUUUCGGAUUGUAAACCUCUGUUUUCGGUGACGAACAAAUGACGGUAACCGAGUAGGAAGCCACGGCUAACUACGUGCCAGCAGCCGCGGUAAUACGUAGGUGGCAAGCGUUAUCCGGAAUUACUGGGUGUAAAGGGAGCGCAGGCGGGAUAGCAAGUCAGCUGUGAAAACUAUGGGCUCAACCCAUAAACUGCAGUUGAAACUGUUAUUCUUGAGUGGAGUAGAGGCAAGCGGAAUUCCGAGUGUAGCGGUGAAAUGCGUAGAUAUUCGGAGGAACACCAGUGGCGAAGGCGGCUUGCUGGGCUCUAACUGACGCUGAGGCUCGAAAGUGUGGGGAGCAAACAGGAUUAGAUACCCUGGUAGUCCACACUGUAAACGAUGAUUGCUAGGUGUGGGGGGUCUGACCCCCUCCGUGCCGGAGUUAACGCAAUAAGCAAUCCACCUGGGGAGUACGGCCGCAAGGUUGAAACUCAAAGGAAUUGACGGAA
rnacentral:rRNA from 1 species